UUAUUUACUGUUCAGAAAUAGGUAAGCUUUUAUGUGGGUUUUUUGCAAACAGGUUGUAUUUUUUAAACAUAAAAUUAUUUUCCUUUAGGAGUAUCAAAAGAGACAUCAAUCAAACUGGAUAAUUUUGCUUUGACCAUUAAAUACUUGUGGCUGUGUGAGCUAGAUGUUCAUCGAGACACUGCUGAUCUGAUGGAGACAGAUAGAUACUAUGCUUGUAAUAAGGCCCAGGGAGCUGGGAAUUGAGACUGGUAUUUCUGCCUCUGGGUCAGCCAUGUGCAUCUCUGGAAAGUGUGAUAGGAUGGUUCAGCUUUUAGCUGGAUACUUGAAUGUCUGAAACAGCUUCGGGUACAAGAGCUCACUUACUGCACCUAUGAUUGAUUUGACCAGCACAAAUUUUUAAAAUAAAACUUCAGAUGGGAAAGGAAAUCCA
rnacentral:lncRNA from 1 species